AGAGUUUGAUCAUGGCUCAGAUUGAACGCUGGCGGCAGGCCUAACACAUGCAAGUCGAGCGGAAACAGGAAGGUGCUUGCACCUUUGCUGUCGAGCGGCGGACGGGUGAGUAAUGCCUAGGGAACUGCCCAGUCGAGGGGGAUAACAGUUGGAAACGACUGCUAAUACCGCAUACGCCCUAUGGGGGAAAGGAGGGGACCUUCGGGCCUUUCGCGAUUGGAUGUACCUAGGUGGGAUUAGCUAGUUGGUAAGGUAAUGGCUUACCAAGGCGACGAUCCCUAGCUGGUCUGAGAGGAUGAUCAGCCACACUGGAACUGAGACACGGUCCAGACUCCUACGGGAGGCAGCAGUGGGGAAUAUUGCACAAUGGGCGAAAGCCUGAUGCAGCCAUGCCGCGUGUGUGAAGAAGGCCUUCGGGUUGUAAAGCACUUUCAGCGAGGAGGAAAGGUUGUAGUUUAAUAAACUACAGCUGUGACGUUACUCGCAGAAGAAGCACCGGCUAACUUCGUGCCAGCAGCCGCGGUAAUACGAGGGGUGCAAGCGUUAAUCGGAAUUACUGGGCGUAAAGCGUACGCAGGCGGUUUGUUAAGCAAGAUGUGAAAGCCCCGGGCUCAACCUGGGAAUUGCAUUUUGAACUGGCAAACUAGAGUCUUGUAGAGGGGGGUAGAAUUUCAGGUGUAGCGGUGAAAUGCGUAGAGAU
rnacentral:rRNA from 1 species